AAAACUCUAAGCGGUGGAUCACUCGGCUCAUGGGUCGAUGAAGAACGCAGCAAACUGUGCGUCAUCGUGUGAACUGCAGGACACAUGAACAUCGACAUUUUGAACGCAUAUCGCAGUCCAUGCUGUUAUGUACUUUAAUUAAUUUUAUAGUGCUGCUUGGACUACAUAUGGUUGAGGGUUGUAAGACUAUGCUAAUUAAGUUGCUUAUAAAUUUUUAUAAGCAUAUGGUAUAUUAUUGGAUAAAUAUAAUAAUUUUUAUUCAUAAUAUUAAAAAAUAAAUGAAAAACAUUAUCUCACAUUUGAAUGUGAAAAACGAAGAGAAAUAUUUUCUUUUUCAAUCAAAUAAUACUGAGAAAUGUCUAGCAUAAAAAAUUGAAAUAUUUUUCAUCUAGAAUUGUCUCUUAUUAAUGAUUCGGAAAUAGAAAAAUCUUGGUUAUGUUAUUAUUCUUCGUUGGUUCGUUAAAAAUGGAUAAAUAAAAACUUUGCAUACAAGAAUUAAUAAAAAUGUUAUAACGAAUUUAAUUAAAUGUUUUAUCAUUAUAUAUAAAGAAUUUAUGGCAAGAUAAAGUUAUAUACAACCUCAACUCAUAUGGGACUACCCCCUGAAUUUAAGCAUAUUAAUUAGGGGAGGAAAAGAAACUAACAAGGAUUUUCUUAGUAGCGGCGAGCGAAAAGAAAACAGUUCAGCACUAAGUCACUUUGUCUAUAUGGCAAAUGUGAGAUGCAGUGUAUGGAGCGUCAAUAUUCUAGUAUGAGAAAUUAACGAUUUAAGUCCUUCUUAAAUGAGGCCAUUUACCCAUAGAGGGUGCCAGGCCCGUAUAACGUUAAUGAUUACUAGAUGAUGUUUCCAAAGAGUCGUGUUGCUUGAUAGUGCAGCACUAAGUGGGUGGUAAACUCCAUCUAAAACUAAAUAUAACCAUGAGACCGAUAGUAAACAAGUACCGUGAGGGAAAGUUGAAAAGAACUCUGAAUAGAGAGUUAAACAGUACGUGAAACUGCUUAGAGGUUAAGCCCGAUGAACCUGAAUAUCCGUUAUGGAAAAUUCAUCAUUAAAAUUGUAAUAUUUAAAUAAUAUUAUGAGAAUAGUGUGCAUUUUUUCCAUAUAAGGACAUUGUAAUCUAUUAGCAUAUACCAAAUUUAUCAUAAAAUAUAACUUAUAGUUUAUUCCAAUUAAAUUGCUUGCAUUUUAACACAGAAUAAAUGUUAUUAAUUUGAUAAAGUGCUGAUAGAUUUAUAUGAUUACAGUGCGUUAAUUUUUCGGAAUUAUAUAAUGGCAUAAUUAUCAUUGAUUUUUGUGUUUAUUAUAUGCACUUGUAUGAUUAACAAUGCGAAAGAUUCAGGAUACCUUCGGGACCCGUCUUGAAACACGGACCAAGGAGUCUAACAUAUGUGCAAGUUAUUGGGAUAUAAACCUAAUAGCGUAAUUAACUUGACUAAUAAUGGGAUUAGUUUUUUAGCUAUUUAUAGCUAAUUAACACAAUCCCGGGGCGUUCUAUAUAGUUAUGUAUAAUGUAUAUUUAUAUUAUUUAUGCCUCUAACUGGAACGUACCUUGAGCAUAUAUGCUGUGACCCGAAAGAUGGUGAACUAUACUUGAUCAGGUUGAAGUCAGGGGAAACCCUGAUGGAAGACCGAAACAGUUCUGACGUGCAAAUCGAUUGUCAGAAUUGAGUAUAGGGGCGAAAGACCAAUCGAACCAUCUAGUAGCUGGUUCCUUCCGAAGUUUCCCUCAGGAUAGCUGGUGCAUUUUAAUAUUAUAUAAAAUAAUCUUAUCUGGUAAAGCGAAUGAUUAGAGGCCUUAGGGUCGAAACGAUCUUAACCUAUUCUCAAACUUUAAAUGGGUAAGAACCUUAACUUUCUUGAUAUGAAGUUCAAGGUUAUGAUAUAAUGUGCCCAGUGGGCCACUUUUGGUAAGCAGAACUGGCGCUGUGGGAUGAACCAAACGUAAUGUUACGGUGCCCAAAUUAACAACUCAUGCAGAUACCAUGAAAGGCGUUGGUUGCUUAAAACAGCAGGACGGUGAUCAUGGAAGUCGAAAUCCGCUAAGGAGUGUGUAACAACUCACCUGCCGAAGCAACUAGCCCUUAAAAUGGAUGGCGCUUAAGUUGUAUACCUAUACAUUACCGCUAAAGUAGAUGAUUUAUAUUACUUGUGAUAUAAAUUUUGAAACUUUAGUGAGUAGGAAGGUACAAUGGUAUGCGUAGAAGUGUUUGGCGUAAGCCUGCAUGGAGCUGCCAUUGGUACAGAUCUUGGUGGUAGUAGCAAAUAAUCGAAUGAGACCUUGGAGGACUGAAGUGGAGAAGGGUUUCGUGUGAACAGUGGUUGAUCACGAGUUAGUCGGUCCUAAGUUCAAGGCGAAAGCCGAAAAUUUUCAAGUAAAACAAAAAUGCCUAACUAUAUAAACAAAGCGAAUUAUAAUACACUUGAAUAAUUUUGAACGAAAGGGAAUACGGUUCCAAUUCCGUAACCUGUUGAGUAUCCGUUUGUUAUUAAAUAUGGGCCUCGUGCUCAUCCUGGCAACAGGAACGACCAUAAAGAAGCCGUCGAGAGAUAUCGGAAGAGUUUUCUUUUCUGUUUUAUAGCCGUACUACCAUGGAAGUCUUUCGCAGAGAGAUAUGGUAGAUGGGCUAGAAGAGCAUGACAUAUACUGUUGUGUCGAUAUUUUCUCCUCGGACCUUGAAAAUUUAUGGUGGGGACACGCAAACUUCUCAACAGGCCGUACCAAUAUCCGCAGCUGGUCUCCAAGGUGAAGAGUCUCUAGUCGAUAGAAUAAUGUAGGUAAGGGAAGUCGGCAAAUUAGAUCCGUAACUUCGGGAUAAGGAUUGGCUCUGAAGAUUGAGAUAGUCGGGCUUGAUUGGGAAACAAUAACAUGGUUUAUGUGCUCGUUCUGGGUAAAUAGAGUUUCUAGCAUUUAUGUUAGUUACUUGUUCCCCGGAUAGUUUAGUUACGUAGCCAAUUGUGGAACUUUCUUGCUAAAAUUUUUAAGAAUACUAUUUGGGUUAAACCAAUUAGUUCUUAUUAAUUAUAACGAUUAUCAAUUAACAAUCAAUUCAGAACUGGCACGGACUUGGGGAAUCCGACUGUCUAAUUAAAACAAAGCAUUGUGAUGGCCCUAGCGGGUGUUGACACAAUGUGAUUUCUGCCCAGUGCUCUGAAUGUCAAAGUGAAGAAAUUCAAGUAAGCGCGGGUCAACGGCGGGAGUAACUAUGACUCUCUUAAGUGAAGCAGGGUGACCCUUUGUCUCCUAUUCUAUUUAACUUGGUAAUGGACAGGUUACUUAGAACCUUACCCAGCGAAAUUGGUGCCAAAGUCGGAAAUGCCAUUACUAACGCGGCCGCGUUUGCAGAUGAUUUGGUACUAUUUGCGGAAACUCGGAUGGGGCUUCAAGUAUUGUUGGACAAGACGUUGGAUUUUCUAUCUAUCGUCGGCCUCAAACUUAAUGCCGACAAAUGUUUUACCGUUGGCAUUAAGGGCCAGCCGAAACAGAAGUGUACCGUGUUAGAGGCACAGAGCUUCUACGUAGGCUCGAGUGAGAUUCCAUCACUGAAGCGCACGGACGAGUGGAAGUACUUAGGCAUCAACUUCACUGCAACCGGGAGGGUUCGAUGCAAUCCGGCCGAGGACAUUGGUCCAAAGCUACAAAGAUUGACAAAGGCCCCCUCAAACCACAACAGAGGUUGUUCGCCCUUCGGACUGUCCUUAUCCCACAGCUCUACCACAAGUUAGCCCUUGGGAGUGUGGCGAUAGGCGUCCUAAGAAAAACUGAUAAACUUAUAAGAUAUUAUGUGCGAAGAUGGCUAAAUCUUCCGCUGGAUGUGCCGAUAGCAUUUGUUCAUGCACCCCCAAAAAGUGGAGGUCUCGGAAUUCCAUCACUAAGAUGGGUAGCUCCAAUGUUAAGGCUAAGACGCUUGAGUAACAUUAAAUGGCCUCACCUCACGCAAAACGAGGUAGCCAGCUCUUUCCUCGAAGCCGAAAAACAACGGGC
rnacentral:rRNA from 1 species